UCAGGCUGGUCUCGAACUCCUGACCUCGUGAUACACCUGCCUCGGCCUCCCAAAGUGCUGGGAUUACAGGCGUGAGCCACCACGCCCGGUCAUGAUUAAUGUUAUUUUAUGAUGCCAUGUGAGUCCUUACCAUCACCUUCCAUGAAGACGUAACUGACAAAGACAUCCAAUUUGAUGCUUUCAUUGGAGAAACCCAGCCUUGGCCAUUGAAGGGCACAACUUUGGGUUUCUUUGAGAUUUAAUCUGGUCCUUGGAGUCCCAAAUGGCAGAUGUGGCCAGUAACAGCUUUUUACAAAUCUUCAAAUCCCACUGACACUGGGAUUCUGCCCUUCAGAUGUGGCCGUGGUUUUUUCAUUGGCAGGGCAGGAUAUGUUACUCUCCAUUUAACAUCGGCCCACCCAAAGUGUUAGCCUGCUGUUUCGUACAUGAAUCCAUCUUAAAUGCCUCCGAGUCUCCCGGCGAAGGGUGCUGCCAUCAGCAGCAGCCAAUAAAUGAAAUAAUACCAGAUAUAAAAUCAGCCACAUUGGUCUCCUGGAGGUAAAUAGAGCACAGGGGCGUUUUAUUUACUGAAAGGCCAGAAUGGCGAUACCUGUAAAUGUUGAAUGUGAAUGUGUUUUAUAAAGUGUAAAGGGCUAUAAAGAAGUCAGUUAUUAUGUUUAUUAUUGCUCCUGCUCUGUACACUUGAUCAAAUGACAAACCCAAAGACUCACUUCUCUGGGCUCCGGUUUCCUUACUAAAAUGAGGGAAUUAUGUUUAAUAUCCCAAGGUCCCAUUUUUUUUUUUCUUUGACUCCAUGAAUCUAUCAGCAGGAACUUCCAUCCAAGUUCCUGAAAUGUGGGAAUAUAUUUGGUGAUGCUGUUUACAUAUAAUAUUAAAUUAUUUUGCAUAAAUUUUUCAGAAUGUGUUUUGUAUAAUAUCGAAGACGAAGAGGGAAAAAGUAAGGUAAGAUGGGAAAGUAGGCCAUAAGAAAGGAUAAGGAGAAACACUUAAGAAAAUCUACCUAUUAUUAUAAUUAAAAUUCAACUUACCUGGAAAGGGGAGGAGGGUAUUUAUGAUUAACAUGAAUAUAGUCUGUGCUCAUUGCAAAGUAAAUUUUCAGAAAAAAAGGGCAAAAUCUGAUUAUUUUAAUCAUCAGAUUAAAUGAAAUUAGAAAUCCCACCUACCUUUUAAAGUAAACAGCAAACUUAAUAUUUUACUACAUAAAAGAAACAAUUGAAAUAAUCCUAACUUCAGGUUAUCGUUGCAUGUAACAGAACACCGUAUUUGAAAAUGAUCCUCAUUGAGUUUUUUGGAUUCAGCAACUUUUUCUGUGGCUAAGAAUGUCCCUUGAGUUUCCUGAAAUCUGCUAGAAUGCUGGGAAGAGCUGUGUAGAAAUACUUCCAAAGGGUCAGGAAGUAAUUUAGGAUUUUGCAUUCAAUGGAAUCAAUCUUUCUUGUGUAUUUUUACUUACCUUUUUAGACAAUAGGCCAAUGAUUGUAGGGUUUGUUCUAGCCUUGAAACCAACUCUCUGCAGAGCAACUCCUGUUUCCACAAAGGGUGCAUCAGGAUGCACAGGACCCCGGAUCGCGGGCCCCACGUGUGAACGAAGCAACACAGACCAUCGAUAACAGAGACCUCUCUAGGUAACAGUAUCUUCAACAAUCGUUCAGCUGUUCAGAAACUUAAAAAUCAUGAGGCGAUUCUUAAAGGAUAGGAAUUCAUAUUGAUCACACAACGUGUAAUCCCACAUCUAUAUACUGGCAAAUGGUGGCACAAACACCAUAAAAUCUCGGCUUGCUUUGUAGCCAUUCUGGAUUGCUGAGUUCUAGAUGGUUGACUUGACCAUGUUCUCCAAUUUGAUGUGGGUACUAUGACCGAGGCAUAGUGCUUGCCAUUGUUUCACCUUGACUUCCUCACUUUGUACACCAAGGGUUAUGCAUGCCAUGAUUGAGGAACUGCCUGUGUUCUACCCUUCAAUGAAUGGAAAGAAAUGUAGAUCCAGAAAAGAAAAAUGUGCCCUUAAGUUCCUCAAUAUUUUGGGAAAUUGCCAAGUGGUUACUGUAGUAGAUUACAGUAUUGUUUGCAAUUAUUUGUCGUUUCUCCUUUAAAAGGAUUAUACAUCCCUGCCUUAGACCCCUUAUAGCUGCCAUGCCAUGAGCCACCCUGUAGAGAGGUCUAUGUGACAAAGCACUGAGGGAGACCCCCAGCCAACAGCCAGUGAGGAAGUGGAACCCUCAGUCCAACAGACUCCAUUGGAUGGAAUCCUAUUGGCAACCACAUGCAUGGACUUGGAAGAGGAUCCUGCCCCAGUCACACCUUCAGAUGGGACUGCAGCCUCAGACAGCAGUUGGAUUGCAACCUCAUGAGAUACUUUGAGCCAGAAGCUCCUGACUGAGUCGUGCCUGGCUUCAUAAACCACAGAAGUUGUAGCUAAUACAUGUUUAUUGGUUCAAGCUGCUAAGUUUUGGGGUAAUUUAUCACACAGCAAUAGAUAACUAAUAUAGGUAGGUACUGGUAUUAUUUGUGUUUUACAGAAGAAGAACCUGAGGUUUAGAGAGGAUAGGAAAUGAUGCAGCCAGGAUGUGAACCUUCAAAUAUGACUCCAAGGACUGCGCAAUUGAUAACUAGAAUCAGUUUUGGAUAACGUUAAGCACAUUCUGUUGUUCAGUCCAGCUUGGUACUGUGCAGAAACUUUGUGGUUCCAGACUUUAGAAAAGCUAGUAUGAGCAGACAAAAGGAUGGUUUCCUCCCAAGCCAGGUAAACAUUUUAAAAGAUACACAAGAAAAAAAUUAUAGAUCAUGCAGCAACAAUAGAGCAUUAACAUUCCAUUUCUAACAAAGAUGAUCUUAGUAUUAGUCAGAGUUCUCCAGAGAGACAAAACUAAUAGGAGAUAGAUAGAUGGAUGGAUAGAUAGAUAGAUAGAUAGAUAGAUAGAUAGAUAGAUAGAUAGAUGAUGGAUAGAUAGACAGACAGGAGAGGAUUAUUAGGGGAAUUGGCUUAUGUGAUUAUGGAGGCAGAGAAGUCCCACGACAAGCUGCCCACAAACUGCAUGCCCGUAGUGUGGCUCAGUCCAAAAGCCUCAGAACCAGAGAAGCCAAUGGUGCAACUCUCAGUCUGAGGCCAAAGGCCUGAGAGCCCAGGGUGUCCUGGACUCUAAAUGCUGAAAAGCCUGGAGUUCUGAUAUCCAAGGGUAACAGAAGCAGGGUGUUCCAGGUGCAGGAGAGAGAAAGAAAGAAUUCUCCUUUCCUCUGCCUUGUGGUUCUCUAUGGGCCCCCAGCUGAUUGGAUGGUGCCCACCUACACUGAGGGCAGAUCUUUCCCACUCGGUCCACUGACUCACAUGCCAGUCUCCACUGGAAACACCCUCACAGACACACCCAGAUUUGAGGCUUUACCAGCUCUCUAGGUAUUCCUUAAUCCAGUUAAGACCUAAAAUUAACUAUCACAGCUUCCCUGCCUUCCAGUCCACCACUCAAAAAUAACCAUUCUCAGCAGUUCCUUCUGUUCUCUAUUGCCUCAAAAUUAUGCAAAACACAGCAAAUGUGGAUGUACAUUUGCAUAUAUAAAAAUAUUUUGUGUGUGUGUGUAUGUGUGUACACAUAUAUAUAUACAGUUGACUCUAGAGCAACAUGAGGGUUAGGGGCACCAAUCCCCCAACACAGUUGAAAAUCUGCAUAUAACUCUUGACUCCCCUAAAACAUAACUACGAAAAGCCUAUUGUUGAUCAGAAGCCUUACCAAUAACACAGUCAAGCAACACCUAUUUUGUACGUUAUAUGUAUUAGAUGCUGUAUUCUUAGAAAAAAGUAAGCUAGAGAAAAGAAAAUCCUAAGGAAGAGAAAAUAUACUUACUAUGUGUCGAAUGGAAGUAGAUCAUCCUAAAGGUCCUCAUCCUCAUUGUGUUCAUGUUGAGUAGCCUGAGGAGUGGGGAGGAAGAGGAGGGACUGGUCUUGCUGUCUCAGGGAUAGCAGAGGUAGAAGAAAAUCUGUGUAUAGUGGACCUGCACAGUUCAAACCCAUGCUGUUCAAGGGCCAAUUGUGUACACAACACCACACACACACACACAUACACACGAGUAUGCACAAAAAUUUGGGAUCAUGGUUAUUUCUAUUAUUUAUAGCUACAUAACAAAUCACCCCCAAACAUAGUGGUCUAAAACAGUAGCAAGUGUUUCUCCUCAGUCCUGGUUUCUGUGGGUCAGGAACGUGGAAAGAGCUCAGCAGGCUGGCCUGGUAUUGCUUGUGCAGGGGCAGGCAGAGACUAAAGCUGGAGCACCUGGGCACAUCUCUCUCCCCAUCAUCUUUCCACUUGUGUUAGUUUGGGCUUCCUCAUAGCAUGGUGAUCUCAGGCUGCCCACUUAGCCACUAAAGGCUUAAGAACAAGUAUCCUAGCAACAAGGCAGAAGAUGCAUCACUUUUUAUAGCCUAGACUCAGUAUCAUAUAGUAUCAUUUCUCUCCUCCCCUAUUGGUCAAAACAACCACAAAACUUGCCCAGUGUGAAGGGAAUUUCAUCUCCCAAUGGAAGAAGUGUCAAAGAAUUUGCAGACAAAGUUUUAAAUUUCCAUAAUGAUAUACUCAUACCACUCUAAUGUAGAGUAGGUGCACACAUCCAAGAAAGUCUCUAAAACAAUUCAGGGGUAUGAAAAUAUAGUAGAGCUUAUAUUUCUUUGUUUUAAUUCACCCCUUUUGCUUUAUUUUUGUAUCUCUUUAUGUACAUAUACAUGUAUAUGUUCUAUAAAUAAAUAAAUACAUUGGGGAAUGUGCCCAAAAGUUUUACACAAUUUAAAAACUUUGUCAGAUAUUGUUAAAUAUGUUGCCCUUGCUUCUUUAUUUUCUACUUAUUAAAAUUAAAAAUCCUUUAUAUGCAAACUC